AUGAACGCUAGCUACAGGCUUAACACAUGCAAGUCGAGGGGCAGCAUGGAGGUUGCUUGCAACUUCUGAUGGCGACCGGCGCACGGGUGAGUAACGCGUAUCCAACCUUCCCCCUAGUAGGGCACAGCCCGGCGAAAGUCGGAUUAAUACCCUAUGUUCUUCAAUGAUGACAUCAGGAUUGAAGCAAAGAUUCAUCGCUAGUGGAUGGGGAUGCGUCUGAUUAGCUUGAUGGCGGGGUAACGGCCCACCAUGGCGACGAUCAGUAGGGGUUCUGAGAGGAAGGUCCCCCACAUUGGAACUGAGACACGGUCCAAACUCCUACGGGAGGCAGCAGUGAGGAAUAUUGGUCAAUGGAGGCAACUCUGAACCAGCCAAGUAGCGUGCAAGGACGACGGCCCUAUGGGUUGUAAACUGCUUUUAUGAGGGGAUAAACUGCGCCACGCGUGGUGUAUUGCAUGUACCUCAUGAAUAAGGACCGGCUAAUUCCGUGCCAGCCGCGGC
rnacentral:rRNA from 1 species